rnacentral:ncRNA from 1 species
GAGGCGAUAUCGUGCGAACGAAUUGCACUCGGGCAGCAAUUAUAUACGCAUAAUUUCAUAUUCGCAUUCGGCGGUUCGGCGUGAAAGUUCGUGCGGACCGGCGAUAACGUUGUGGGAAAUGGAUUCUGCUCUGAGCCUCAGGGACCGAGACAGAAGG